rnacentral:rRNA from 1 species
GCACAGCAGUCGCGAAACCUUUACAAUGUCUUCACGGACGAUAGGGGAAUCCUGAGUGCUCUAGCAUUGCUAGAGCUUUUGCUUACUGAAAAAAGGUAGGCGAAUAAGUGGUGGGUAAGACGGGUGCCAGCCGCCGCGGUAAUACCCGCGCCACAAGUGGUGACCACGUUUAUUGGGUCUAAAGCGUUCGUAGCCGGCCUGAUAAAUUCUCGGUGAAAAUCCUGUGUAAAUCAUAGGGCGUGCCGGGAAGACU